rnacentral:rRNA from 1 species
AGAGUUUGAUCAUGGCUCAGGACGAACGCUGGCGGCGCGCUUAACACAUGCAAGUCGAGCGAGAACCAGACCUUCGGGUCUGGGGACAGCGGCGAACGGGUGAGUAACACGUGGGUAAUCAACCCUCGGUACUGGGAUAGCCCGGGGAAACCCGGAUUAAUACCGGAUGGCCCUUUGGAUCUUCGGAUCUGACGGAAAAGGUAGCUUCGGCCUCCGACCGAGGACGAGCCCGCGGCGGAUUAGUUUGUUGGUGGGGUAACGGCCUACCAAGGCGGCGAUCCGUAGCUGGUCUGAGAGGACGAUCAGCCACACUGGGACUGAGACACGGCCCAGACUCCUACGGGAGGCAGCAGUGGGGAAUAUUGCACAAUGGGCGAAAGCCUGAUGCAGCGACGCCGCGUGAGGGAUGACGGCCUUCGGGUUGUAAACCUCUUUCAGCAGGGAAGAAGCGCAAGUGACGGUACCUGCAGAAGAAGCACCGGCUAACUACGUGCCAGCCGCCGCGGUAAUAC